rnacentral:rRNA from 1 species
UACGUAGGGGGCAAGCGUUGUCCGGAUUUAUUGGGCGUAAAGAGCGUGUAGGCGGCCGUGUAGGUCCGUUGUGAAAGUCGGGGGCUCAACCCUCGGAAGCCGGUGGAUACUGUCGAGCUAGAGUCCGGAAGAGGCGAGUGGAAUUCCCGGUGUAGCGGUGAAAUGCGCAGAUAUCAGGAGGAACACCGAUGGCGAAGGCAGCUCGCUGGGACGGUACUGACGCUGAGGCGCGAAAGCGUGGGGAGCAAACAGG